UACGUAGGGUGCAAGCGUUAAUCGGAAUUACUGGGCGUAAAGCGUGCGCAGGCGGUGAUGUAAGACAGUUGUGAAAUCCCCGGGCUCAACCUGGGAACUGCAUCUGUGACUGCAUCGCUGGAGUGCGGCAGAGGGGGGAUGGAAUUCCGCGUGUAGCAGUGAAAUGCGUAGAGAUGUGGAGGAACACCGAUGGCGAAGGCAGCCUCCUGGGCCAGCACUGACGCUCAUGCACGAAAGCGGGGGGAGCAAACAGGA
rnacentral:rRNA from 1 species